rnacentral:rRNA from 1 species
UCACGGAUCCAGACUUUGAUCCUGGCUCAGGACGAACGCUGGCGGCGUGCCUAAUACAUGCAAGUCGAACGCCUCUUUUUCCACCGGAGCUUGCUCCACCGGAAAAAGAGGAGUGGCGAACGGGUGAGUAACACGUGGGUAACCUGCCCAUCAGAAGGGGAUAACACUUGGAAACAGGUGCUAAUACCGUAUAACAAUCGAAACCGCAUGGUUUCGAUUUGAAAGGCGCUUUCGGGUGUCGCUGAUGGAUGGACCCGCGGUGCAUUAGCUAGUUGGUGAGGUAACGGCUCACCAAGGCGACGAUGCAUAGCCGACCUGAGAGGGUGAUCGGCCACAUUGGGACUGAGACACGGCCCAAACUCCUACGGGAGGCAGCAGUAGGGAAUCUUCGGCAAUGGACGAAAGUCUGACCGAGCAACGCCGCGUGAGUGGCAGCCNUAAGAGUGUUCGGAUCGUAAAACUCUGUUGUUAGAGAAGAACAAGGAUGAGAGUAACUGUUCAUCCCUUGACGGUAUCUAACCAGAAAGGCCACGGCUAACUACGUGCCAGCAGCCGCGGUAAUACGUAGGUGGCCAAGCGUUGUCCGGAUUUAUUGGGCGUAAAGCGGAGCGCAGGCGGUUUUCUUAAGUCUGAUGUGAAAGCCCCCGGCUCAACCGGGGAAGGGUCAUUGGAAACUGGGAGACUUGAGUGCAGAAGAGGAGAGUGGAAUUCCAUGUGUAGCGGUGAAAUGCGUAGAUAUAUGGAGGAACACCAGUGGCGAAGGCGGCUCUCUGGUCUGUAACUGACGCUGAGGCUCGAAAGCGUGGGGAGCAAACAGGAUUAGAUACCCUGGUAGUCCACGCCGUAAACGAUGAGUGCUAAGUGUUGGAGGGUUUCCGCCCCUUCAGUGCUGCAGCUAACGCAUUAAGCACUCCGCCUGGGGAGUACGACCACAAGGUUGAAACUCAAAGGAAUUGACGGGGGCCCGCACAAGCGGUGGAGCAUGUGGUUUAAUUCGAAGCAACGCGAAGAACCUUACCAGGUCUUGACAUCCUUUGACCACUCUAGAGAUAGAGCUUCCCCUUCGGGGGCAAAGUGACAGGUGGUGCAUGGUUGUCGUCAGCUCGUGUCGUGAGAUGUUGGGUUAAGUCCCGCAACGAGCGCAACCCUUAUUGUUAGUUGCCAUCAUUUAGUUGGGCACUCUAGCAAGACUGCCGGUGACAAACCGGAGGAAGGUGGGGAUGACGUCAAAUCAUCAUGCCCCUUAUGACCUGGGCUACACACGUGCUACAAUGGGAAGUACAACGAGUCGCAAAGUCGCGAGGCUAAGCUAAUCUCUUAAAGCUUCUCUCAGUUCGGAUUGUAGGCUGCAACUCGCCUACAUGAAGCCGGAAUCGCUAGUAAUCGCGGAUCAGCACGCCGCGGUGAAUACGUUCCCGGGCCUUGUACACACCGCCCGUCACACCACGAGAGUUUGUAACACCCGAAGUCGGUGAGGUAACCUUUUGGAGCCANCCGCCUAAGGUGGGAUAGAUGAUUGGGGUGAAGUCGUAACAAGCUAACCGUAAGCUUCAC